rnacentral:rRNA from 1 species
UACGUAGGGUGCAAGCGUUUAAUCGGAAUUACUGGGCGUAAAGCGUGCGCAGGCGGUUGUACAAGACAGAGGUGAAAUCCCCAGGCUCAACCUGGGAACUGCGUCCGAUACUGGAUGGCUUGAAUCCGGGAGAGGGAUGCAGAAUUCCAGGUGUAGCGGUGAAAUGACGUAGAUAUCUGGAGGAAUACCGGUGGCGAAGGCGGCAUCCUGGACCGGC